AUGGAACUCAGACUACACCAUGAGGACGGCACCCUCAAGUCUGCGUGUCUCUCAGUUCACUUCCUCACUCUACCGGAGGUCCCACUUCGGGAAGAUGAUUUCAAGUUUGAACGUCUGGAUGGCAGUAUAAGAAAGAAGAGAAAGGAGUUCCAGAGAGACACACCCACCAGCCCAUUGAAAAAGCAGCUUUCAUUUAAAACUUGGGAGGUGGGCCUAAAGUCAACCUCACAUUUGCCUCUCAUCUUCCUCAUGGACCCAGCCUGGAACUUAACAGAGGACCGCUGUAACCACUUUGGCCAGAAGAGGGACAUUGUCAUCAUUAAGUUUAUAUAGUAGAGGACAACAUGGUGAGGAUUCAGAGGCAGAAGUAGGAUUUGGUAGAGGAGGCUUUCGGGCCUCCCCAGUGAGAGGGUGAUGUCUCAUAUAGCUGAUAUUCAAGCCCUAAAGGCAAAUGGUAUUUUGAUUAUUGUUCCAAUUCACCUUUCACCAAAGUUUAGAAUAUCAAAGAAUAGGGAAUAAAACCUGAUUAUUUCAACUGCAAGCACUGUUUUGGGAGUCCUGGUUAUACACCACAUGACCACACAAUCGGAGCGGGAUAAAUAUUUGUGUGUUUUUGACUCCCUCUAUUAUUAAUUUACUUUAUGUAAUACCUGUGCUUCAGGAUUGUUUACCUUUCUUUAGCUUAACGGAAUAGGUGAUAUUAAGUUUAGUUGGCAAGGACAAUCUAAAAAAAGUAGAAUGUGAGAAGUGAUGCUUUGCACCAGAUAUGUCCUUAACAUAUAUAGCCCACCAAAUCAUGAUUUAUAUCAUAUAUGCAUGUUUAUAAACUGGGUGGUUCAAGCCCUGAAUGCUGAUUGACUGACAUAGCACAGGUAUGACAAAACAUUUAUUUUUACUGCUCUAAUUGCAUUGGUAACCAGUUUAUAAUCACAAUUAUGUACCUCAGGGUUUGUGGUAUAUGGCCAAUAUACCACGGCUAACAGCUGUACCCUGACAAUACUAAAUAAUGACAAAACAAAGGAAAUAAAGGUCAGAACGUGACAACCCCUUCAUGCCUUAUUGCUUAAGUAUAUACUGCACAUGUCCUUAUCACAUUGCACAUUGUCUCUCCCUACUUAUUGCUGUUUAGGAGUAUUACUAACUAUCUGUCCAGCUUACAUUGAGAAACUGUUGCAUCUGCCUGAGAAAAGAAGUUGAAACUUUGGGUGGAGUACAUAGGAUGGGUCUGAGAUUAUUUUAUUUGGCUGUCCCAUGAUUGUUCGCACCCAUCAUAUUCAUUGAUGUCUGGACAGUAAUUUUAAACUAACUGAUAAUUUCACUAACCAGGCUAAAAUGCCAUAUAAUAGAAAGCUCUAUAUAACAGUCCGGUGGAAUAGGAGCAUGACCUUGGGUUUGACUCCAAAAACCCUGAAUCUACCCUGAGUAAAGUCCACAUUAUGUAGCACCACACCAUAGGUCACCAAUGGAUUUUAAAUUAAAAAACAUUUUCUUGACAUGUAUGAGGUGGUGGUGAUCACAACACGCUCACACAUGGUGCUCGUUCCAUGGGUAAGCGAAUGCUCCUACCACUGUCUCUCUCAAGCAUCUUUGACUGGUGUUUUGACUUACUGCCCCCGCAUAUUGCUUGUAUACACAGCACUAACUUGGGAGUUGGUAAUCUCCCACUAGUUUAGUAAUGUGCCGCCAGGAUCCCCAUACAGUGAGCAAGUUCUCCACUUUCUCUCUGUUUAUCAUACUGGUGCAUGUGUCAUCAAGUGUGUGUUGUUUGUGUAUGUUUGCCGCUGGCGGAGCUUGUGUUCUGGAGGCGGGUGUGAACUAAUUUUAGCUCACAAUAAACUUGUAGAAUGGCUACUAGACAACAACAAAAACUGCAAAGCUCAAUGCGGACGAAGAAUACUUAUCAAGCACUACACUCCAUGAACUACUCAACAAAUAGUUACAUAAAGAUUUAUUAGAUCUGCAGGAAAAUUACUUCAAGUCCUGAAACUCUUUAUAGAUUCUACCAACAGAAUGGUUGAUGAUCUGUUCAAGGCUGUAAUGGAAUUUGAGCAGUCUGAGGAGGACGAGCAAAAAUCAGUCAUUCAAAACCAUGUCUGAGGAUUUCGCAUGGAAUUGGGGAGAUGGAAUUGGGAAUUAAAGACUGAAACUUGUCACAGAAGCCAAGGCCAAGAAACUCCUGGCAGAUCAAUUCAAGCUGGACCCUAAACUCAUCGAGAUGGAGAAGGCUCAUUGGAAUGGCUUAUAGGAAUGGCACAUUCUUCCUCGAUGGACGGCCCAGUUCUAUAGCGGUAAAACUGCAUCUUUCUGAUGGACGGCCCAGAUCUAUAGUGGUAAAACUGCAUCUUUCUUUUUCCCAACGCAGUUACGCCAAAACUACACCCCGUUAUUCAGAGGGGCGUUCUACUACUCUCCCAUUGGCCUUCUAGAGUUGUCUCACUCACAGGCGAUCAGCGCAAAGACAGUGACCUUCCAAGGUAAGGAUGUAAAUGUGUUGUCAUAACUGCGUUGGUAAAAAAGAAAGAUGCAAGGAUGGAAAGUGUCAUUUACAACUAGCUGCCUAUCGUAAUGCCGGCUUAUUAUUAUAAUGUUUGGUAACAUUUGCCGAUGUAUUUAUUUUCAGAGUUGCAAUGGGUUGUAAAAAUGUCUCAGAAAACUCUGCUGAAUUCCCUCAAUUGAAGGUCAGGUAAGUUAACCUAGGCUACUUAACAUCACUAGCACGGUAUUUGAAGUUGUUAUAUUAUCAUAAGUAGUCUAUUAUCAGAUAAAAGCAUUUACUUAUUGUUCAUAAUUUGUCAAAUAUUUUUUAUUUAAUCAUUCAGUCGAAAACUCUAUGCUCCAGCCGUUGAAUCUGUCCUUGAGCGUUAAGGGACGUUAAUGGCUAGCUCGGUCCACGACAUUAUGUUUUUAUAUUUUUCAAUCUUGAAAUACAAGGGCAACUGUUAUUAAUCAGUGACAAAAAUUUUGCGCUACGUGAUAUUCACUUCCGGACUUGGAGAGCGCUCAAAGUAUUGUAGAACGCCCUUCUGGUAUUGGCUUAACUGUGUUGGGUAAAAGAAAGACGCGGUAAAACUGUUCAGGUUCAAAGACAAGGAGGAGAUUCUCAGGAAAGCCAAACGCCUGAAGGUAACCAAAAUCUUAAUCAAUGAAUAUUUCUCCAAAAAGGUACGCCUCAAAAUAAAAGAACUGCUGCCACGACUAAAUGAAGAAGGAAAAAAGGGAACAUUGCAUCCCUGAAGUAUGAUCAGCUGGUCGUUCACCCCCCUCUCAUAGCCCUAUGGCAAGUGACUCCGCUAUAGUCAAAUUAUUUGAAACACAGAUUUAUUCUAUGCUGCUCAUGCAUUUCACAAAACAUUGCUCUAAAUGUCAUAACCCUCUGAAGUCUUCAGUGGUAUUACGUGGACUGUGUCAAUGUGCAUUCAAUAGGAAGUGUACCCCUAUUGAUAAAACAAACAAAAUAUAUGGUUGUAUUGGACACGUGAGGCCUUCUGUUAUGGUGAGUGAAUGAGGACCCAAAAGCGAACUAACUUAAACAGAGCUUCUUUAAUAACCAAACAUAGGUAGGCUCAGAUAGACCGGCAGAUUCCGACAGGACAGGACAAGGUUACAGCAAACAUGACGAUAGUCUGGCUCAGGCAUGAAACACAACAAACAAGAAUCCGACAAGGACAGGAACAGAAACAGAGAGAGAUAUAGGGACCUAAUCAGAGGGAAAAAGGGAACAGGUGGGAAACGGGGUGAAUGGGUAGUUAGAGGAGACAAGGAACAGCUGGGGGAAAGCGGGGGAGAAAAGGUAACCUAACAACGACCAGCAGAGGGAGACAGGGUGAAGGGAAAGGACAGAGACAAGACACAACAUGACAGUACAUGACAGUACCCCCCCACUCACCGAGCGCCUCCUGGCGCACUCGAGGAGG
rnacentral:lncRNA from 13 species